AGCGAACGCUGGCGGCAGGCCUAACACAUGCAAGUCGAGCGCCGUAGCAAUACGGAGCGGCAGACGGGAGAGUAACACGUGGGAACGUACCCUUUGGUUCGGAACAACCCAGGGAAACUUGGGCUAAUACCGGAUAAGCCCUCACGGGGAAAGAUUUAUCGCCGAAGGAUCGGCCCGCGUCUGAUUAGCUAGUUGGUGGGGUAAUGGCCCACCAAGGCGACGAUCAGUAGCUGGUCUGAGAGGAUGAUCAGCCUCACUGGGACUGAGACACGGCCCAGACUCCUACGGGAGGCAGCAGUGGGGAAUAUUGGACAAUGGGCGCAAGCUUGAUCCAGCCAUGCCGCGUGGGUGAUGAAGGCCCUAGGGUUGUAAAGCCCUUUCGGCGGGGAAGAUAAUGGCGGUACCCGCAGAAGAAGCCCCGGCUAACUUCGUGCCAGCAGCCGCCGUAACAC
rnacentral:rRNA from 1 species